rnacentral:rRNA from 1 species
GAUGAACGCUGGCGGCGUGCCUAAUACAUGCAAGUCGAGCGAACAGAUAAGGAGCUUGCUCCUUUGACGUUAGCGGCGGACGGGUGAGUAACACGUGGGUAACCUACCUAUAAGACUGGGAUAACUUCGGGAAACCGGAGCUAAUACCGGAUAACAUUUGGAACCGCAUGGUUCUAAAGUGAAAGAUGGUUUUGCUGUCACUUAUAGAUGGACCCGCGCCGUAUUAGCUAGUUGGUAAGGUAACGGCUUACCAAGGCGACGAUACGUAGCCGACCUGAGAGGGUGAUCGGCCACACUGGAACUGAGACACGGUCCAGACUCCUACGGGAGGCAGCAGUAGGGAAUCUUCCGCAAUGGGCGAAAGCCUGACGGAGCAACGCCGCGUGAGUGAUGAAGGGUUUCGGCUCGUAAAACUCUGUUAUUAGGGAAGAACAAAUGUGUAAGUAACUGUGCACGUCUUGACGGUACCUAAUCAGAAAGCCACGGCUAACUACGUG